rnacentral:rRNA from 1 species
GACGGAGGGGGCUAGCGUUGUUCGGAAUGACUGGGCGUAAAGAGCACGUAGGUGGUUAAUUUAGUCAGGCGUGAAAGCCCUGGGCUCAACCCGGGACUGCGUUUGAUACUGAUUAACUUGAGUCCGAUAGGGGAAAGUGGAAUUCCUAGUGUAGAGGUGAAAUUCGUAGAUAUUAGGAGGAACACCAGAGGCGAAGGCGGCUUUCUGGAUCGGUACUGACACUGAGGUGCGAAAGCGUGGGGAGCAAACGAGGAUUAGAAGUACCCGG